rnacentral:rRNA from 1 species
GAUGAACGCUGACAGAGUGCUUAACACAUGCAAGUCAACUUGAACUUCGGUUUGGGUGGCGGACGGGUGAGUAACGCGUAAAGAACUUGCCUCACAGAUAGGGACAACAUUUGGAAACGAAUGCUAAUACCUGAUAUUAUGAUUAUAUGGCAUCGUAUAAUUAUGAAAGCUAUAUGCGCUGUGAGAGAGCUUUGCGUCCCAUUAGCUAGUUGGAGAGGUAACGGCUCACCAAGGCGAUGAUGGGUAGCCGGCCUGAGAGGGUGAUCGGCCACAAGGGGACUGAGACACGGCCCUUACUCCUUCGGGAGGCAGCAGUGGGGAAUAUUGGACAAUGGACCAAGAGUCUGAUCCAGCAAUUCUGUGUGCACGAUGAAGUUUUUCGGAAUGUAAAGUGCUUUCAGUUGGGAAGAAAAAAAUGACGGUACCAACAGAAGAAGUGACGGCUAAAUACGUG